UAGAGACGGCGUUUCACUGUUUUAGCCAGGAUGGUGUCGAUCUCCUGACCUCGUGAUCCGCCCGCCUCGGCCUCCCAAAGUGCUGGGAUUACAGGCGUGAGCCACCGCUCCCGGCCCAGAUGUCUGAUUGCUUUUACAACAAUUUAGAGCUGUAACAGAGGUCAGAGGAACGCGGGCAAAAGAAAAACAGAAAGGAGAGAAAGCUGUUAAAUUUCUGCUUAUCCCCUUCAUGACAAAUGGUUUGUUUUGGCGGUUGGUUGCACAAGGACUGUUAUGGGUUCCUUAUAAUUUCAGUCGCUCCUAUUUCACUGACUGUUCCCAUUAGCAUAAAUAAGACAAAAUGAACAAAUUCCCUCUGUCCCGAUGUCAUAAAUUCUGAAAGACAAAAACCAAAAUAAAAGAAUGCAAUUCAGUACAAGAGGACAAUGGAAGUGCUAGCAUUACUGACAACAAUGAUCUUACCUAGAGCAGUACUAAAAUAAUUUUUGCCCUAAAUGGUUCUUAAAGGAUUGAAGAGAAGCUGGACUGGCUAUACACACAAAUCAAAUAGGAUAUUUUAUAUUCAAAAAGGAAAGGAGGCUAACAUUUUAAAAUGACUACUGUGGGACAUACUUUGUCGCCAUGUUAUUUCAUUCAGCAUUCACAAUAAAAAAUAUUUUUUUUAUUUGUUGUUCCUUUUUAUUUGUUGAAGGAAAGACUAAGAAAAAGACAGUUUUCUUAAUCAGUCCUUUGCUUAAGGAUCGCUUAAGGCAACCCAAUUAAAUGGCAGAGCUAGUAAUUUAAUUCAGUCCUGCACGAUGUACUUCCUAAAGUGCCAUAUCCACUUAAAAUGGAAAAAGAAUGUAGGCAAACCUUGAAGCUUGGCAGGAGAAAGCAAGACGUAAAAAGACUUAGGAACUAGAGGAGUGAGUGAGAUGUAUAAUCCUUUGUUUUGUUUUAAUUUUGAAUAAGAGGAUUAAGGAAUAUUUUGUCUUGAUAUCCUUCUCUGAAACUGGUUAAAAAUAAAUGUUCUGUUCUUCAUAGAUGAAAACUGAAGGUAUCCUAAAUUGGCUGCACAGGCUUUCUGAUAGGCAGUAAGAUUUUCUUCCAUGACUCCUGGAUAACAAAAGACUCCCAGCUGACACGCCCUCAUCCCUGAUUAGAACUAUUUAAACCAUAAGGAAUCCCUAGAUGUUCCCCUGUAUUUGCUUCUACAGAUGUUAUUAAUUUUGCUUUUAUAUAGAAUCAAGACCUUUAUAAGUUAGUUUUAAGGGGUAGUGUUAGGUAGAGGUCAAGGUUAAAUUAAAAUUUUACUUGUUCCCUUUUUUGACAAAUAGUUUGAUUUGGACGCAGGUUGUAACAAGGACGGUCAUGGGUUAGAAACUUAGAAAGAUUACAUAACUUUUCAAAAGUCAUCACACUAUUAAGUAGAGGAGCCAGGACUAAUUGCAGGAAAUCUUUCUCUCUAAUCUGUGCUCUGGACCACUGAAAUUAACCCCUUUUCAAGGGAUUAUUGAAAUUAUGGUAAAUAAUUCACUGUUGUUACUGCUACCCUAUUAUAAAUUAAACUCAUGUAAACUUU